AGAGAAAGGCAUUUGAUGUUACCAUAUUUAGUUUCUGACUCAUGUUAAUUCAUUAUGUGUCAUAUAUGUGUACAUCGCCUUGGAGAUGUGCUCCAUCGACCUCAACAUGUGCUCCAUAAAUUACACUUGAUAAUAUAUGUAUAUUUUCUCAAUUAUAUUCGCGUCAUGUGUGCAAAUUUAAUCUGUAAUCGCACCAAAAUUAAUCCUCAG